rnacentral:rRNA from 1 species
GGGUUGUAAACUUCUUUUACCAGGGACGAAGAAAGUGACGGUACCUGGAGAAAAAGCUCCGGCUAACUACGUGCCAGCAGCCGCGGUAAUACGUAGGGAGCGAGCGUUGUCCGGAUUUACUGGGUGUAAAGGGCGUGUAGGCGGGACUGCAAGUCUGACGUGAAAUCUGGUGGCUCAACCACCAAACUGCGUUGGAAACUGUGGUUCUUGAGUAUCGGAGAGGCAGGCGGAAUUCCUAGUGUAGCGGUGAAAUGCGUAGAUAUUAGGAGGAACACCAGUGGCGAAGGCGGCCUGCUGGACGACAACUGACGCUGAGGCGCGAAAGCGUGGGGAGCAAACAGGAUUAGAUACCCUGGUAGUCCACGCCGUAAA